UACGUAGGGUGCGAGCGUUAAUCAGAAUUACUGGGCGUAAAGCGUGCGCAGGCGGUUUUGUAAGCCAGAUGUGAAAUCCCCGGGCUCAACCUGGGAAUGGCAUUUGGGACUGCAAGGCUUGAGUGCGGCAGAGGAGACUGGAAUUCCUGGUGUAGCAGUGAAAUGCGUAGAUAUCAGGAGGAAUACCGAUGGCGAAGGCAGGUCUCUGGGCUGACACUGACGCUCAUGCACGAAAGCGUGGGGAGCAAACAGG
rnacentral:rRNA from 1 species